GGCACCGCCGGGGCACGCAGCACGCCCUGUUCCCCGUUUUUUUCUGCGCGGACUAGGGAAAUCCCUCUCGGCUUUCUGGCCAUGGGAUGUGUCUUAGGCCAAGGCUUUAAAUCAGACACUUAAAUUUUGCAGAUAAUGGACUGCAUGCCCACAGAAUUAUUAGCAAGAUCGAGAAUUUGAAGUGUGAAAUCCGAGGACAGGAAGAAAAAGACCAGUUGCCUUAAGAACUGUUUUUGCUCACAGUCAUAAACUAAGAGCCCCUAAAGUUGACUUUACAAUCACUAAUACUUCCAUUUUUGUUGUUAAGAUUUGACAAAAAAUGCUGACUGUCUUGUCGAUAUCUGAUAUCUUUUUCUUCUUACAGUUUUUUUCAGCUACGCUUUUCUUUCAUAUUCUUCAGAAAGUCUGAGUCAGAGGCUGCCUGCAGGGCUUUGAGAAAGGAGCACAAGGUUGUCUGUAAUUGCCUGCGUUCUCCAUUCACACAUUGAGCCCAGCUGCCACAGAGUUGCUGCCCUACCCAACAUUCACUGUAGUGCACUCUGGACCUCUCAUUUUCUUAAGCGUCUUGGCUUUCAUCUUCUGUGAAAGUUUACAUCAGCAGGCUGAAAGAAGCAAGCAAGACAGCUGCAACAAUCCCUGGGAAAAAGCACUGGCUUGUAUUCUCUUUUCUUAUGUUCCCAGAUGCAUGGAUCACCAGGAAGCACUUGGUUCUGCACCGAAGCACCUCACUCCUAAGCGUGAAGGCGAGGGAGGCUCUGCUGGCUGGACAGUGUUAGACUCUCUGCGUGUGUCUACACAUUUACACUCUGCUGUGGGAAACCCUUGAGUAUCCUGAAGAGAAGCUGUGGAGAUCUUUCCUUGAGUGGAGUCUCCUGAAAAACUUGUCAGCCCUGAGGAUUUCUAAAAGACCUCCAGGCGUAGACAGCCAGGGAUCACCCCCAACCUGUGUAUGGACUAGAGGAACCAACUGAGGUGAGCACAAGCUAAAUCCUGCCACAAAAUACCAAAGACAUGCUCAAACCCCACCUCAGUGCUCCCAAACCAACUCUGAAACAGCGAGAUCAAGCUGAGUAGUUUUGUUUCUUUUGCAGGGUAAUCCUUUGAGGACAAAAAACUUGGAAGAGAAGGAAUGCAACCUGAUUUAUUAAUUUCAGUGACAUUUUCCUGAGGUAGUAUGUAAGUAUAGAAGGGGCCUAGAAAGGGGUAGGAAACAAGAAAGGAAAAAACACUAGGAAAUGUGCCUACGUGUACAAUUAUCAGACUGAGCAGCUUGCAAUAGUCACUUGAACCAUACAUCAUUAUACAUUAUAGUCAUAAGGAAAUAAUACAGUUGUUCUUCACAAAAUGAUUUUUGUGAGGGAUCUUAAGCAGUUUUCUGUGUAGUAUUA